GAUGAACGCUAGCGGCAGGCCUAACACAUGCAAGUCGAGGGAGAGGUUACCUUCGGGUAACCAAAACCGGCGCACGGGUGCGUAACGCGUAUACAAUCUGCCUUUCACAUAGGGAUAGCCCGAAGAAAUUUGGAUUAAUACCUAAUGGUAUAUAGGAGCGGCAUCGUUUUUAUAUUAAAGCUACGGUGGUGAAAGAUGAGUAUGCGUUCUAUUAGCUAGUUGGAGAGGUAACGGCUCCCCAAGGCGACGAUAGAUAGGGGUUCUGAGAGGGAUGUCCCCCACACUGGUACUGAGAUACGGACCAGACUCCUACGGGAGGCAGCAGUGAGGAAUAUUGGACAAUGGUCGGAAGACUGAUCCAGCCAUGCCGCGUGCAGGAUGAAGGUCCUAUGGAUUGUAAACUGCUUUUGUAAGGGAAGAAUAAGGAGUACGUG
rnacentral:rRNA from 1 species